UGAUGCUCAAAUGAUGCUUGUGCCACCCUUGGGUGAUGCUUGGGUGAUGCUUUUGCCACCCUUGGGUGAUGCUUGUGUCACCAUUGGGUGAUGCUUGGGUGAUGCUUGUGCCACCCUUGGGUGAUGCUUGGGUGAACCUCAAGUGAUGCUUGUGCCUCCAUUGGGUGAUACUUGGGUGAUGCUCAGGUGAUGCUUGUGCCACCCUUGGGUGAUGCUUGGGUGAUGCUCAGGUGAUGCUUGUGCCACCCUUGGGUGAU